GGGCGUUUAGCUCAGUGGUAGAGCGCCCGCUUUGCAUUGCAAUCUCGAUCACGAAUGCGGGAGGCCCAGGGUUCAAUCCCCUGAUCGUCCA
rnacentral:tRNA from 1 species